rnacentral:rRNA from 1 species
UACGGAGGGGGCUAGCGUUGUUCGGAAUGACUGGGCGUAAAGGGCGCGUAGGCGGCCUGCUAAGUCGAACGUGAAAUCCCCGAGCUCAACUCGGGAACUGCGUCCGAUACUGGCAGGCUUGAAUCCGGGAGAGGGAUGCGGAAUUCCAGGUGUAGCGGUGAAAUGCGUAGAUAUCUGGAGGAACACCGGUGGCGAAGGCGGCAUCCUGGACCGGCAUUGACGCUGAGGCGCGGAAAG